CUGAUAUUUCUCCACCAACCCAAUUUCCAAAUCUUUUGCCUUACGCUUCAUUACCUCUUUGUAGUCCAUGUUUCUCACGUGUUGCCAUAUAAGUGAACGUAUGCCUUCUUUAAACUUCCCACGCACAAUAUAAUUAUGCAGCAAAAGGUAGUAGAAGGGCAGGUUCUUAACUACUUUAACUGCCUGCUUGAAGCUGAAUGAAUAGAGCCCACAAAUGAGCUGUACCAUCUUAAUGUAGAGAGCAACAAUUAAUGGUCCAAGAACCCAUAAAGGGGUUAAUUCUCUGGAAACUACAGAUCCAUAUACUAAAUUAACUGCCAGGUAUAAAGGGAAGCUGCAAAUACAACAAAAAGCGAGACAAUUAGUCAACAGCAAUAUUCAUUCUGUUAUGGAUCUGCACCUGUCUGAAUAUCUUAUUUAAGCUAAACAAAUACUAAAUGAUGAAGAAUAUAUGUUGUACUCGUGCUUUGACAGUUCAGAAGCAAUAAUGAGAAAAUUUGGAAGAAACUACCAAAGAUUGCAUUAUAACUGUACUCAUGCAUAUAACAAUUUAAAUUACGCAACAUCUUAUAUCAGCUAGAGUUUUAAAGCUACAUUCUUUGGAUUCAUUAAACUAUUUCCCUUGUUAAAUUACCAGCAAUACAUGUUAGAACACAGAAAUUUAAUCAACUCAGUCUAGAGUAAAAUAGCUCCAAAUAUCCAUUGAAACACACACACACACACACACACACACACACACACACAAAAUAAAUACAUAAUUUCUACACAUUGGCAUACAGUACAAAUCAGUGCUCAAUCGAAACUGAUAUUUUUACCUUUUCUCAUACAAAAUUCUGUAUCUCCUUAGUUUUGGAAACAGAGAAAUUGAUCACAAGCAAGCAGGCAUGUAAAAUAUACAGGCUUACACACACAGAAAGAGAUUGGAGACGGAGAAAGGAUGUACCAUCAGACUUACAAUAUCAAUAAAGGUAUCUUUAUUGUUGCGUCCAGACCUAAAAAUCUUCUUUCCACGAGAAAAGAAACAGCAAUAAACUUAAGCUAUAUCCAUGCUUGACGCUAUUAAGAAGAACCCAUAUGAUUUUGGGAAAAUUCUGAACCCAUUUGAGGAAUUGACAGCAAAUGGGGUGCGUGGUGGAGAAAUUCGGAGAUUCUGAGGUAUGGAAAGCGGCUUCUUUGGUUGUUCUAGUUUUGAAGCAGCUAUUUUUUAGACUUUCCAGCCCGACUUUACAGAUGUUCUUUGUCCAUUUUUUUCACAUGGUAGAAGAAACUAGGAUCUUUUUAGUUUUUUUCUUGUCUUUUCAUUAUUUUUUGUUACGGUAGAAGUCGACGAAGUUGAUAGAAUUGGAUCUUAUUCUCGUCAAGAAUUUUUUUCAAAAAUAGUAAUAUUGUAAUAAAUAAGAUGAAAAACAUUAAAGGUGCGUUUGAUAGAACAUAAUUCCAUGAAAAAUAUCACAUCCGAUAAAUUCGUUUUCUACUUUUGACUGUUUGAUACGAAAGUGAAGUUGGAAUUCGAAUUCCAAGGUACAAAUACUUAAAGAAUGUUUUUGACCAAUUUCAUGGAAAUCGAAUUCUUAUGAUUUUGAUAAAUUUUUUUUUUUAAACUUGCAUGAGAUUGAAUUUCUUUUUACACCUUUACAAUCAAAUAGACCUUAACUUCUUAAAUUCUCUUUUAUUUAAAUUAUGUUGCUCAUAGUUGAGAGUUGGAAACUCCCAAUCUCCCGAGCAAGGCUCAAGAGGAGCUUUGCAGACCGUCGAGGGAAUAAUGGCAGUAGUAGGAGGAGAAGAAUAUUUAAAGGAUAUCAGGUAAGAGAAGCUCAAAUAAAAUUAACCUUUCGAUUUCAAUUUCAAUCUCUAGCUUUAUCCUUCUUAAACAAAAGCUUGUUGGACAAGACUUUUAAAAAGUCAACCUGCUUUUAUUUCUUUGUUCUAAAAGUACUUUGUUAAGCUAAAAGCUCUUUUACAAAAAAUACAAGUAGAAUCAACCAAGAAAAGUUCCGUGUGUGUAUCAUCAGUGAUAAUUUCAUAUUAAGAUAAUCAGAAAUUUAGGCAUCACUAUGAACCCACAGAAACUUCAAUAAGGUGUGAGAUGGGAAAAAAUAAAUAAAUAAAUAAUAAUAAUCAUCUUUCGAUUUCCCUCUCCAAUUUGAUCCUAAUUAAAAAAAAAGCUCAUUUGACAAGAUUUUUAAAAAGUCAAGCCAUGUUUGAACUUGCGAAAGUACUUUCAUCAAGUUAGAACAAUUUUUGAAAGAAGCUGAUCAAAUGUAAUUGCUUUUGAGAGCUCUUCUAAGAAAAAGGGAAGCAAAACCAACCAAAAAAAAGUUAUGUUGCGAGCACGCUUGUGAUCAUCGAUAAUUUCACAAUAAUAAAAUCAGAAAUUUAGGCUUCACUAUGAACCCACAGAAAAAUCAUUAAGGCUAAAUUCAAAUUUGGCAAAGCAGAGCAAAGGGAUUAAGAACCCCAGAUUCCAAAACGGGGUUCAGGAAUUGUUGCCCGUGAGAAUAUUUUUCACCCCAAAACAAGGAAAUAAAGGAAAAAAAGAAUCCCAAUUUUCAUGCCCUGCAACCAUUUCUAUCCCCAAAUCUACACUAGAUUUGCUCUCUUCAAGAACUUGAUCAUUCUGCAGUAAAAUGGCCAUAUGGAUUCCACAUAGUCCUGAUAUUUCUCCACCAACCCAAUUUCCAAAUCUUUUGCCUUACGCUUCAUUACCUCUUUGUAGUCCAUGUUUCUCACGUGUUGCCAUAUAAGUGAACGUAUGCCUUCUUUAAACUUCCCACGCACAAUAUAAUUAUGCAGCAAAAGGUAGUAGAAGGGCAGGUUCUUAACUACUUUAACUGCCUGCUUGAAGCUGAAUGAAUAGAGCCCACAAAUGAGCUGUACCAUCUUAAUGUAGAGAGCAACAAUUAAUGGUCCAAGAACCCAUAAAGGGGUUAAUUCUCUGGAAACUACAGAUC
rnacentral:lncRNA from 1 species